AAUUUAAAUAGUUUAAUUAAAAUAUUGAUUUGUGGUGUCAAUGAUGAGAGUUAUUCUCUUUAGAUC
rnacentral:tRNA from 1 species